rnacentral:rRNA from 1 species
CUGUGGAGUACGAGCGCAAGCUUAAAACAUAAAGGAAUUGACGGGGGACCGCACAAGUGGUGGAUCGUGCUCUUUAAUUCGAUGAUAAACGAAGAACCUUACCAGGGCUUGACAUCCCUUGAAUCUUGGCGAAAGUCAGGAGUGCUUUAUUGAGCAAGGUGACAGGUGUUGCAUGGCCGUCGUCAGCUCGUGUCGUGAGAUGUUUGGUUAAGUCCAUCAACGAGCGCAACCCUUGUGAAUAGUUGUAUUUUUCUAUUCAGACCGCCCCGGUAACGGGGAGGAAGGAGGGGAUGAUGUCAGGUCAGUAUUACCCUUACGUCCUGGGCUAGAAGCGCGAUACAAUGGCCAGUACAAUGCGCAGCGAAGCCGCGAGGUGGAGCAAAUCGCAUCAAAACUGGUCCCAGUUCGGAUAGGAGGCUGAAACUCGCCUCCUUGAAGUCGGAAUCACUAGUAAUCGCAGGUCAGCAUACUGCGGUGAAUACGUUCCCGGUCCUUGUACACACCGCCCGUCAAACCAUGAAAGUCACCAACACCCGAAGUCCGAUUCGUCGGCCUAAGGUGGGGGAGAUAAUUGGGG